AUAGGUGGCCAUAUUGUCCUGCGAGAGACUGAUCCUGUCAGAUCUCAGAAGCUAAGCAGGAUGGACCAAGUAUAAGGAAGUGGUCAAAUAUC
rnacentral:rRNA from 12 species